rnacentral:rRNA from 1 species
GACAGAGGGUGCAAACGUUGUUCGGAUUUACUGGGCGUAAAGCGCGUGUAGGCGGCUUUGCAAGUCGGAUGUGAAAGCCCACGGCUCAACCGUGGAAGUGCAUCCGAAACUGCAUGGCUUGAGUCUCGGAGAGGAAGGUGGAAUGCUUGGUGUAGAGGUGAAAUUCGUAGAUAUCAAGCAGAACACCUGCGGCGAAGGCGGCCUUCUGGACGAUGACUGACGCUGAGACGCGAAAGCGUGGGGGGCAAACAGG